rnacentral:rRNA from 1 species
AUUAUGGCUCAGAUGAAACGCGGGCGGCAUGCCUUACACAUGCAAGUCGAACGGCAGCGCGGGGCAACCUGGCGGCGAGUGGCGAACGGGUGAGUAAUAUAUCGGAACGUACCCUGGAGUGGGGGAUAACGUAGCGAAAGUUACGCUAAUACCGCAUACGAUCUAAGGAUGAAAGCAGGGGACCGCAAGGCCUUGUGCUCCUGGAGCGGCCGAUAUCUGAUUAGCUAGUUGGUGGGGUAAAGGCCUACCAAGGCAUCGAUCAGUAGCUGGUCUGAGAGGACGACCAGCCACACUGGAACUGAGACACGGUCCAGACUCCUACGGGAGGCAGCAGUGGGGAAUUUUGGACAAUGGGCGCAAGCCUGAUCCAGCAAUGCCGCGUGAGUGAAGAAGGCCUUCGGGUUGUAAAGCUCUUUUGUCAGGGAAGAAACGGUGGGGGCUAAUAUCCCCUGCUAAUGACGGUACCUGAAGAAUAAGCACCGGCUAACUACGUGCCAGCAGCCGCGGUAAUACGUAGGGUGCAAGCGUUAAUCGGAAUUACUGGGCGUAAAGCGUGCGCAGGCGGUUUUGUAAGUCUGUCGUGAAAUCCCCGGGCUCAACCUGGGAAUUGCGAUGGAGACUGCAAGGCUAGAAUCUGGCAGAGGGGGGUAGAAUUCCACGUGUAGCAGUGAAAUGCGUAGAGAUGUGGAGGAACACCGAUGGCGAAGGCAGCCCCCUGGGUCAAGAUUGACGCUCAUGCACGAAAGCGUGGGGAGCAAACAGGAUUAGAUACCCUGGUAGUCCACGCCCUAAACGAUGUCUACUAGUUGUCGGGUUUUAAUUAACUUGGUAACGCAGCUAACGCGUGAAGUAGACCGCCUGGGGAGUACGGUCG